GUAAUGUCGGAUUAUUGGGCGUAAGCGAGCGCAGGCGGUUCUUAAGUCUGAUGUGAAAGCCCCCGGCUCAACCGGGGAGGGUCAUUGGAAACUGGGAGACUUGAGUGCAGAAGAGGAGAGUGGAAUUCCAUGUGUAGCGGUGAAAUGCGUAGAUAUAUGGAGGAACACCAGUGGCGAAGGCGGCUCUCUGGUCUGUAACUGACGCUGAGGCUCGAAAGCGUGGGGGAGCAAACAGGAUUAGAUACCCUGGUAGUCCACGCCGUAAACGAUGAGUGCUAAGUGUUGGAGGGUUUCCGCCCUUCAGUGCUGCAGCAAACGCAUUAAGCACUCCGCCUGGGGAGUACGACCGCAAGGUUGAAACUCAAAGGAAUUGACGGGGGCCCGCCCAAGCGGGGAAGAAUGGUGGUUUAAUUCGAAGCAAGGCGAAGAACCUUACCAGUCCUUGACAUCCUUUGACCACUCUGAAGAUAGAGCUUUCCCCUUCGGGAACAAAGGGACAGGUGGUGCAUGGUUGUCGUCAGCUCGGGUCGGGGGAGGUGGGUUAGGUCCCGCAACGGGCGCACCCUUAUGGUUAGUUGCCAUCAUUUAGUGGGACUCUGCGGGACUGCCGGUGACAAACGGAGGAGGUGGGGAUGACGUCAAACAUCUGCCCCUUAUGACCUGGGUACACACGUGCUACAUGGAAGUACAACGAGCGCUAGACGCGAGGUCAUGCAAAUCUCUAAGCUCUCUCAGUCGGAUGCAGGCUGCACUCGCUGCUGAGCGGAAUCAAAAAUAAUCGGGAUCAGCAGCGGUGAUCGCUCUCCGGGCUAAA
rnacentral:rRNA from 1 species